rnacentral:piRNA from 1 species
UUCUAAGGGUGUCAAGAUGCUCUAAAGGCU